UUUAGACGUGUGCUCUACCAAAUUGAGAAAGAAGCAUUUCUGUUUUCUUGUUUAUCAGAUGAGCCUGAAUACCUUAUAGAUGGUGAUUGUUGAAGAGUUGGGGUCUAGCUAUGGUUGCCCGAGCACUCUGCGUAGGACAUGCACUUGUUGAGUUAAAGAACCCUUAAAAAAAAAAAAAAAGGUGAUAUUCCUAGUCUGCACCAACUGCCAGGAUAGCACUAGUUUACAGAAUACUUAGAUUGAUUUUCCUUAAUUAUAAAUUUAUAGUAGAAGAGAUAAAGGGAUUGGAAAUGUGCUGUAAUUUGCUUCUGUAAAAAUCCCAGACUGUUCAGUGAAACAAAAGAACAGGAUGUCACUUGUGAAAUGGUAGGACUAGACAGCUAGAGCCUUUUGCAAAAAUAGAUUUUGUCAUGGGCAGUAGAUUUCUAAAAGGCUCCCAGUCCCUUGGUCCUGUUGCUAGGAUUAAGCCUUUUUGCAUUGCAGCAUGGAGAGGCUUUCAUUUGAGUUAAAUUCAGCCUUCUUGGUAUGUCACCUGAUGGUCUUGUGGUUUCAGAUGAAUAUGGUUCAUUGCUAUUAUUAACCUGACUUGGCAGUUGUGCAUAACUGGACUUUUAAGUGAGUUUGAAGAGUGGAAUUGCUUAAGAGAAAUAGAGAUGCUACUGGCAUACAGCUUAACUUAAAAUGCUAUUUUCAAAUGUUAACAUCAGAAUCUACCCAAAUCUAAUUAUGAAUUUAAUGAUGUAACAAUUUAAUCAGAGAUUAAAGAGAUUUUAGGUGUAUAUAUAUAAAAGUUGAAUAAAAUUAUGGUAAUAAAUAUAAUUAGAAGGACUUCUUGAGAGUGUUUUGAGCAGGUGGUAAUCAUUAUUUUAAAAUAUCUAAUUUAUAAAUGUUAUAUGUUAGUCUUU